rnacentral:rRNA from 1 species
AUUGAACGCUGGCGGCAGGCCUAACACAUGCAAGUCGAGCGGAUGAAGGGAGCUUGCUCCUGGAUUCAGCGGAGGGCGGGUGAGUAAUGCAUACGAAUCUGCCUUGUAGUGGAGGCUAACGUCAGGAAACGGGCGCUAAUACCGCAUACGUCCUGAGGGAGAAAGUGGUGGUUCUUCGGUCAUCACGCUAUUAGAUGAGCCUAGGUCGGAUUAGCUCGUUGGUGGGGUAAAGGCCUACCAAGGCGACGAUCCGUAACUGGUCUGAGAGGAUGAUCGGUCACACUGGAACUGAGACACGGUCCAGACUCCUACGGGAGGCAGCAGUGGGGAAUAUUGGACAAUGGGCGAAAGCCUGAUCCAGCAAUGCCGCGUGUGUGAAGAAGGUCUUCGGAUUGUAAAGCGCUUUAAGUUGGGAGGAAGGGAAGUAAAUUAAUACCUUCCUGUCUUGACGUUACCAACAGAAAAAGCACCGGCUAACUACGUG